CUUUGCAAUAGCAGUAAGACACCUCAAAGACGAUGAGGUAGAUAGGCUGGGAGUGGAAGUUCUGUGAAGAAUGGAGCGGACCAGUACUAAUCAGUCGAGGACUUGACCAAAA
rnacentral:rRNA from 1 species